GAUGAACGCUGGCGGCGUGCCUAAUACAUGCAAGUCGAACGAAACUUCCUUAUCACCGAGUGCUUGCACUCACCGAUAAAGAGUUGAGUGGCGAACGGGUGAGUAACACGUGGGCAACCUGCCCAAAAGAGGGGGAUAACACUUGGAAACAGGUGCUAAUACCGCAUAACCAUAGUUACCGCAUGGUAACUAUGUAAAAGGUGGCUAUACUACCGCUUUUGGAUGGGCCCGCGGCGCAUUAGCUAGUUGGUAGGGUAAAGGCUUACCAAGGCAAUGAUGCGUAGCCGAAUUGAGAGGUUGAUCGGCCACAUUGGGACUGAGACACGGCCCAAACUCCUACGGGAGGCAGCAGUAGGGAAUCUUCCACAAUGGGCGAAAGCCUGAUGGAGCAACGCCGCGUGGGUGAAGAAGGUCUUCGGAUCGUAAAACCCUGUUGUUAGAGAAGAAAGUGCGUGAGAGUAACUGUUCACGUUUCGACGGUAUCUAACCAGAAAGCCACGGCUAACUACGU
rnacentral:rRNA from 1 species